AACGAACGCUGGCGGCGUGGAUAAGACAUGCAAGUCGAACGGGACUAAAUCUGUAGCAAUACAGGUUUAGUUUAGUGGCGAACGGGUGCGUAACACGUGGGGAAUCUGCCGAGAAGUGGGGGAUAGCUCGUCGAAAGGCGAAUUAAUACCGCAUAUGAUCAGGGAAGACAUCUUUCCAACAUCAAAGCCGGGGCAACCUGGCGCUUCUUGAUGACCCCGCGGCCUAUCAGCUAGUUGGUGAGGUAACGGCCCACCAAGGCUAUGACGGGUAGCUGGUCUGAGAGGACGACCAGUCACACUGGAACUGAGACACGGUCCAGACACCUACGGGUGGCAGCA
rnacentral:rRNA from 1 species